rnacentral:rRNA from 1 species
UACGGAGGGUGCGAGCGUUGUCCGGAAUCACUGGGCGUAAAGGGCGCGUAGGUGGCGCGAGAAGUCAACGGUGAAAGCCCGGGGCUCAACCCCGGGUCGGCCGUCGAUACUCUUGGGCUCGAGCACUGUAGAGGCAGGUGGAAUUCCGGGUGUAGCGGUGGAAUGCGUAGAGAUCCGGAAGAACACCGGUGGCGAAGGCGGCCUGCUGGGCAGUUGCUGACACUGAGGCGCGACAGCGUGGGGAGCAAACAGG